rnacentral:tRNA from 1 species
AGUCCUGUAGCUCAGUGGUUAGAGCACUCGCCUGGUAAGUGAGAGACCUGGGUUCGAUUCCCGGCAGGGUGA